rnacentral:rRNA from 1 species
UACGUAGGUGGCAAGCGUUGUCCGGAUUUAUUGGGUUUAAAGGGCGCGUAGGCGGCCUUAUAAGUCAGUGCUGAAAUAUCCCGGCUUAACCGGGAGGGUGGCAUUGAUACUGUAGGGCUUGAGUGUAGUCGAGGUAGGCGGAAUUGACGGUGUAGCGGUGAAAUGCUUAGAUAUCGUCAAGAACACCGAUAGUGUAGACAGCUUACUAGGCUACAACUGACGCUGAGGCACGAAAGUGUGGGGAUCAAACAGG